rnacentral:rRNA from 1 species
ACGAACGCUGGCGGCGUGCUUAACCCCUGCCAGUCGCACGGAAAGGCCCUGCUUUUGUGGGGUGCUCGAGUGGCGAACGGGUGAGUAAUACGUGAGUAACCUGCCCUUGACUUUGGGAUAACUUCAGGAAACUGGGGCUAAUACCGGAUAGGAGCUCCUGCUGCAUGGUGGGGGUUGGAAAGUUUCGGCGGUUGGGGAUGGACUCGCGGCUUAUCAGCUUGUUGGUGGGGUAGUGGCUUACCAAGGCUUUGACGGGUAGCCGGCCUGAGAGGGUGACCGGCCAAAUUGGGACGGAGAUACGGCCCAGACUCCUACGGGAGGCAGCAGUGGGGAAUAGUGCACAAUGGGCGGAAGCCUGAUGCAGCAACGCCGCGUGCGGGAUGACGGCCUUCGGGUUGUAAACCGCUUUCGCCUGUGACGAAGCGUGAGUGACGGUAAUGGGUAAAGAAGCACCGGCUAACUACGUG